GGAGAGCGCAGCUCAGUGGUACAGCACCUGCUUAUCAUGCACGAGGUCCUGGGUUCAAUCCCCAGCCCCUCUA
rnacentral:tRNA from 1 species